AUUAAAAAAGAAGAUAAAACUCUACCUUCUAGUGAUGGAGGUAUGAAUGAAAAUGCUACCGUCAAGCUUAGUUUGGAUAUGGAUAUGGUAUCAACAGCCAAAACGGCUGCGACAAUCCGCGCCAAGAAAAUCGAAGAAAACAAAAUGAGAUGGCUUGCAAUGAGACAAAACUCGAUGCCCGUGCAAAUAGAUUCAGAAGUGUUGCGCGUCAUACCCAAAUACAUGAGAAAGAAAAUAAAAAGUGCCGAAGGUGAAAAAAAGAAAAAAGACAGACGUCGAAUGCUUAUAGAUUAGGGAAUAAAACAAUUCCAAAUUUACUUAUAUCACAUCUAAUGCAAAUACAUAUUUCUAUUAAAUAAAAUUUAAUGUUAUCGCACAGAAAAAAAAUCUAUUAA